GACGAACGCUGGCGGCGUGCCUAAUACAUGCAAGUCGAACGAAGCUUUUUUAACUGGUGCUUGCACCGACUUAAACAACUGAGUGGCGAACGGGUGAGUAACACGUGGGUAACCUGCCCCAAAGCGGGGGAUAACAUUUGGAAACAGAUGCUAAUACCGCAUAACCACAGAAACCACAUGGUUUCUGUGUCAAAGAUGGUUUCGGCUAUCACUUUGGGAUGGACCCGCGGCGUAUUAGCUAGUUGGUAAGGUAAUGGCUUACCAAGGCAAUGAUACGUGGCCGAACUGAGAGGUUGAUCGGCCACAUUGGGACUGAGACACGGCCCAAACUCCUACGGGAGGCAGCAGUAGGGAAUCUUUCACAAUGGACGAAAGUCUGAUGGAGCAACGCCGCGUGAGUGAAGAAGGUUUUCGGAUCGUAAAACUCUGUUGUCAGAGAAGAACGUGUGCGAGAGUAACUGUUCGUGCAGUGACGGUAUCUGGCCAGAAAGCCACGGCUAACUACGUGCCAGCCGCCGCCGUAA
rnacentral:rRNA from 1 species